UUGCCUCGGCGGAUCAGCCCGCGCCCUGUAAAACGGGACGGCCCGCCCGAGGACCCUAAACUCUGUUUUUAGUGGAACUUCUGAGUAAAACAAACAAAUAAAUCAAAACUUUCAACAACGGAUCUCUUGGUUCUGGCAUCGAUGAAGAACGCAGCAAAAUGCGAUAAGUAAUGUGAAUUGCAGAAUUCAGUGAAUCAUCGAAUCUUUGAACGCACAUUGCGCCCGCCAGUAUUCUGGCGGGCAUGCCUGUUCGAGCGUCAUUUCAACCCUCAAGCUCAGCUUGGUGUUGGGACUCGCGGUAACCCGCGUUCCCCAAAUCGAUUGGCGGUCACGUCGAGCUUCCAUAGCGUAGUAAUCAUACACCUCGUUACUGGUAAUCGUCGCGGCCACGCCGUAAAACCCCAACUUCUGAAUGUUGACCUCGGAUCAGGUAGGAAUACCCGCUGAACUUAAGCAUAUCAAUAAGCGGAGG
rnacentral:rRNA from 1 species